AUUGAACGCUGGCGGCAGGCCUAACACAUGCAAGUCGAACGAGUGGCGGACGGGUGAGUAAUGUGUGGGAAACCGCCCGAUGGAGGGGGAUAACUACUGGAAACGGUAGCUACUACCGCGUACCAUCGGAUGUGCACAGAUGGGAUUAGAUUGUUGGUGAGGUAACGGCUCACCUGGGCGACGAUUCCUAGCUGGUCUGAGAGGAUGACCAGCCACAAUGGGACUGAGACACGGGCCAGACUCCUACGUGGGGCAGCAGUGGGGAAUUUUUCACAAUGGGGGGAAUCCUGAUGCAGCCAUGCCGCGUGUUAGAAGAAGGCCUUCGGGUUGUAAAGUACUUUUCUCCGGGAGGCGUUACCCGCAGAAGAAGCACCGGCUAACUCCGUGCCAGCAGCCGCGGUAAUAC
rnacentral:rRNA from 1 species